GGCAGAAAGAGAGGGAGAGAGAAUCCCAUGCAGGCCCGAGCUGUCAGUGCAGAGCCUUACUCCAGGCCCGACUCAAGGCCCGACCCGGGGCCAGCGCAGGCCUUGAACCCACAAACCUUGAGAUCAUGACCUGAGCCGACACCAAGAGUUGGAUGCUUAACCAACAGAGCCACCCAGGCGCCCCAUCGGGGUCGUAUGGCCAUGGACCUAUUCUCUCUUUUGUCUUACUCGUUUAUGCCUGUGACGUCAAUGACCAGCUAGACAAUGAUGAAUUCCAAACGUCUUCUGGUUCACAUCUCUCAUCCACAUAUCUCCAAAUGGCUGCUCAGCAUCACCAUUCAGAUGCUUCACGGCCACCUCAUCCAGCAAGUCUGGUCCACUUCUAGCCAAGGACACCACGUCCGUCACAUUAUGCAAGUCAAAAGUCUAGAAGUUCUUUAUUGACACCCACCCUCCUACCCAGAAAUCCAAUCAUUCCCAAUGCCUGCCUCUCCUACCUCCUAUUUAACUCUUGCAUCGGUCCCUUUUUUUCCAGCUGCCCUUCACCCACUUUCCUAGUCUGAUGCCAGCUACUCACGGCCCAGCUGGCUUCCUGACUGGGCUCCGUGUCUACCUCUGCUUUUGCACCUCCUUCAUUGUGUUCCCAGGUUGCUACCUGAACAUUUCUCCCGGGUGAACGUCUGAUUGCGUCGCUCUUUCUUCUAAACCUUCGAUAGGUCCCGGUUGCACUGGGGAUAAAGACAGCGUUCUCGAAAGGGGCUCCCAAGGCUCCAUCACACCAGGUCCUACCUGCACCUGUCCUGGAAGCUUCUGUUCAGACCACACCUGUCUUCUUUGCACAUCGAAUCACAGGGCCGUGUUUUCUGCCCGUUCUUUGCACAUGCCGCCCCUGUGGCCUUCCUGAUCCUGCCCAUCCCUCGUGUCUGAGCUCAGGCACACCCCUUUCUCACUCACACCCUCUGUGAUCUCCAGCCCGGGCCAGGUGUCUUGUCACGUGUCUCAGAGAGCCGCUCGUCUGUGCUAACACUCGGCGCGGCCUCUGGAUAUACAUCGAUCUGUCAUUACUUGAGUCUCCCUUGCUAGCCCGGGCCUUCAUGAGACUAGGAACUAUAUCUGUUCUUAACCAGUGUAUGCUCAGCCGCUUGCAAGGUGCCGGGCACGACGUGCCUGCUCUAUACAUGCCCGUUGAAUGAAUAAAGCCACCAAGUUGCCUCCAGAAAGGGCCUUUGAUGUCUGUGCCAACCCAUCAGAAUAAUGGCAGCUCUGGAAAAAAAGUACAUAUUUGAUGUCACAGAGAAGAAUCCUAACAGAAAAGAAUGCUCUGAACCUUCUAAGGCACAUAUACGAGGGAAACGGAGUCUAGCUUCUCAGCUUAAUGACGAGUUUGAUGCUUCUUUUCCCGUAGGAUUGGGACGAAUGUAACAUGACCAGAUGUCACCACGUUCUACCGUGGCGAAAGUCAGACCUGUCCCUGGGUGGAGCCCAGCGUGGAUUUCUGGCCACCUGUACACCUGGAAUUUCCUGAUCUGAUGUCACUAAAUAUUUUCAGUAAAGGCAAUUAUUAUGUGACAAAAUAAAAAAAAAACCCUCAUUUUCA